CGCUCAGCCUUUUCCCUUUCCCACUCUGCUUUCUCAUCCUCGUGCUCCUCUUCGAUUUCCUCAAAUCUUUCUGUUAGACGAAUACACACGUUGCGGAUCAAGUCUAGUUCGUUAGCGUGUCUAUCAUCAAAUGGUUCAGUUUCAUCAGCCCAAUGAAAGAAACCACAUUGUUGAGAUAUCUCCUUUGGACAGUUGUACAAUAGCCUGAAUGGAUUUUUUUCUGUCUGAGACAUUCGUAGUUUGGCAGGCACUCCACAGUAACAUUCAAGAUUAGAUUCCUCAUAAAUUUCCAAAGACAUUGUUCAAGUAUGGAUCCUAAAAGAGCGUGGUUGGUAAAUUGGAGCAACCGAUUGAAGCAGCAAAG
rnacentral:misc_RNA from 1 species